AGACCGCGACGUAUCACGACGGCGUCGUUCACGUUCAGUUAACAGGUCAAUGAUCUGCUGAUUUUGUGCCUGCAUAUCAGCAAAUUGUUGAGACAAAACAUCAACCCGUUGGCGGAGAUCAUCCUGAUUGUUCUGACGACGAGGAGGCAUGAUGUAGGAACGAAGCAAGACUCUGGAUACCAACUGAUGCAGCAGCAGCGUGAGCGUCGCAGCAGCAAGAUAAUGAAACGAUGAUGAUUUCGUUGAUUCUACGGAAUACCGAAAGCAUACAUCUAAGAGAAUAAAAGACUCUUUGUUUUCUUAUUCAAAAUUCAAC
rnacentral:lncRNA from 1 species